UACGUAGGAUGCGAGCGUUGUCCGGAGUUAUUGGGCGUAAAGAGAACGUAGGUGGUUUCUUAAGUUUGGGCUUAAAGACUGGAGCUUAACUCCAGGACUGGCUCGAAAACUGGGAGACUAGAGGAUGUCAGAGGAAAGUGGAAUUCCGAGUGUAGCGGUGAAAUGCGUAGAUAUUCGGAGGAACACCAGUGGCGAAAGCGACUUUCUGGGACAUUCCUGACACUGAGGUUCGAAAGCUCGGGGAGCAAACAGG
rnacentral:rRNA from 1 species